GCUUUGUGUUCUGCAGGUGACACAGGGCUGCCUGGCUCCCCAGAGCAAAUCCUGGAGCAGGGUUUUCCCGGAGCAUACAAAUCCAAGGGGAGGAGGAGUGGGAGUGGUGCCGGUUGUGAAACAUCUUCAUCAGCUGCUGGUGAGGAAGGCUGACACCGUGGGGCCAUGUGGAAGGAGGGACGUCGUCAAGGUGCAGGUCUCAGCACCCUGCUCCUGCUGUCAUCGUGCCUACUGAGGCCAACCUCGUGCCCCACAGCCCUCUUUUGGCAGCAUGGUGCACUCUGCACCCUUCUUCCUUCCCGACACUCUUCUCUGAUGCCAUCUUUCAUCUCCAGAAUGCUCCUGUUGUCCUCUGUGCUAGCUAGGAUACCUACCUGGUCCCCUGAGGACACCUGUAGUUUCUUCAAAUCCCCUCUGGACUUCUUCAUCAUGUCCUCGAGCAUUCUUUUGGCUGUCCUCUGCUACUGUCACGAAGUCUCCCGAGGUCUUGGACGAUCCCUGCAGCACACCUUUAGCCCCGUAAGUCUCCUUUGGACUUGUUUUGUUGCAAUAGCACCUCUCCUCCUAAGAUCUCUGUUCCCCAAAGAGAGCAUUCUUCUUCUUCUUUAUGCCACCUAGGAUGCCUCCUGAGACCUUCUUUGUGUACCACAGCCCUGUUUUAGCUCCGUAGCAGACUUUGAUUCUCUCUCAUUCCCUCAGAAACUCAGGUGUGUUUGUACCUCGGAGCACUCUUAAUCAUCCUUCCUGCCAUCUAGGGUGUCUCCGCUUGGUCCCAGCCUCCCGAUGGCAUCUGUACUGUUCAGAUCCCGUCCGGACUUCCUUCUUAUGUCCUUGAGCUGCCUUUGGUGCCUUUGGCCCAAUCAGGACCUCUCUGAUGGUGUCGUGAUGCCUAUCGAUGCCUUUGAGGUUGCCCUUAGCAGACUUGUAGCCUCGUACCAGACCUGGCAGCCAUCUCGUUCACUCAGAGGACUUCCCGAGUCCAGAUGUGUGACCCAGCCCAGUCAUUCUGUCCUCUCUUCCCUCUAGCUGCCUCUGUUCGUUCCCUGGCUCUCUGAUGACAUGCGUACGUGGUUCAGAUACCCUCAGGAUUUAAUCAUCAUGUCCCCAGUCCUUUUUCUGUCUCUCUGGCUCCCUCAGGACAGUUCUUCUCCCAGUCAGUGCCUCCCAAGACCUUCCUUGUGGUCUGGUUCUGUCCUGUAGCACUUUAGGUGGGGCUGUCUUUGAGCCGCAAAUGAACUCGUUUGUUCCUCUCUGCUGGCUGGGAUUCCCGUGUUUAGUUCCCAGCCACCUCAGACCGUCUGUACUCUGCUCAGACGAUCACCCGAUUUCCUCCUUGUUGUUCCUCAGCCUUUUAUCCCCGCCGCCGUGAUCGCUCUCCUCACGGUCACAGUGCUUGCUGAGACCUCCCUCGAUCUCCACAGCACCUUGUAGCACUCGAUCUCCUUUUCUCUCUCUCCUGUUCUGUCAGAGCCUCCCUCAUUUCUUUGCUACAUGCCAUCGAGGGUGUCUCCGUUUAGUUGUUCUCUCAGUCGUUUGUAGUUUGCCCAGAUGCCCUCCAGAGACUCCAGGGCCCUCACUGUGUCUGAAGGCUGCUUUUGUUACUCUGCCCCCUCCUAGUUCCUCUACGCUCUGUAACAAUGUCUUCCGAGUCCCUUUGUGUACUUCACCGCACUCUUGUGGCACUUCAGCUCCCUUUGGAUUUCAUUUUUUGGCGCUCUUUAGAGCACUCUUCUCUUACUCUCUGGCGUGUCAGUCUGCACAUGUACCUGGGUUGGAACCGCUCUGCCUGGGGGCACAGCGGUGUCAGUCAGGGGAAGAACAGCACUAAGAGUCUGUGGUUAACGUUGCUUUGCCUGGACUGUUUAGGUACAGACCGUACAGCCCCCUCAGCAGCAGGCAAGGAUGUCAGAGGGGUGACCGGAGCUGUCUGGGACAGGCUGCGGGAGUGGUAGUUGAACAGAUGGAAUCUCAAAGGUGUUAAGGCUUUUGUAUGUAGGGCUUAAUGCUGGUUUUUAUGUUGUUUUUUUUUUUAAUGGCAGGCUGUAAUGAGACCCUAGAUGGUGUUCCUAAGUGCAGUCAAGAGCUCUGGAAUUGUUGAGCUGUCACUCGGCAUCCAGGUGACUUGUUUGAAAAUUUUUUUCAGAUCCAGAGGGACAAUAUAUGCACCAAAGAGUGACAGAGGCAGCGAGCAGAGCACUGUAAGAAGGUGCAUAGCAAUGAGCAAAGCAGGAUAUUGGCACUGGCGGUGACUUGGGCAAGGUGAGACAAGUGGGCCGAAGCAGCAGUUAUUUUUCAGGCGUCUCACUGUUGGUGAAGCUGGAAGCAUCUCCUGUUGUCUUACAGGUGGUACCCAGGCCUCGAUGUGGCGACCUGUGCCGUGCCGGCUGCCUUUGGAAUCGGCUGAGUAUUUGAGAUGAUGAAGAGGAACCAGGCAGCUGCAGGAAUAUAUCCUGGUUAGCUGAUGUGGGUUUUGUUGAGGAUGGAUUCAGAGCCCUGGCCCUCUGAAAGCUGAGUUGAGGGAACAGAGACCACUGCCCUACAGUGUGUAACCCUGACUUCAGUUAGAAAGAGACUUUACCAAAUGGAAACCUUUCUCGAGGAAUGUUGAUUUUUAUGAACUUCCCAUCGGAGCAGAUCUUCAGAGCUGAUGGAUUUGGCAGUAGUACUCGGGCGGUGCAGCUGGCCAGAUGUCCCUGCUAAUUCUGGAAGACACCAAACCCCUCGUCAGGUUGUAAGUGUGUAUUUUGGAGACAGACAGCCUAAUGGCAUCAGCUCAGAGCUGUACGAGUUCAGGGAAUGCAAAAGGAGAACCAAAUACUUACACACCUAAUAAAACCACUGCUACAAGCAUAUGCCCACCUGUA